rnacentral:rRNA from 1 species
CCUACGGGAGGCAGCAGUGAGGAAUAUUGGUCAAUGGGCGCUAGCCUGAACCAGCCAAGUAGCGUGAAGGAUGACUGCCCUAUGGUUUGUAAACUUCUUUUAUAUGGGAAUAAAGUGGAGUUUGUAUAUUGCUUUGCAUUUACCUUAUGAAUUAGGAUCGGCUAACUCCGUGACAGCAUCCACGGUAAUACGGUGGAUCCGAGCGUUGCCUGGUUUUAUUGGGUUUAAAGUGAGCGUAGAUGGGUUGUUAAGUCAGUUGUGAAAGUUUGCGGCUCAACCGUAGAAUUGCAAUUGAUACUGGCAAACUUGAGUGCAGUUGAGGUAAGCGGAAUUCGUUGUGUAGCGGUGAAAUGCGUAGAUAUAACGAAGAACACCGAUUGCGAAGGCAGCUUACUGGGCUGCCACUGACGUUGAUGCUCGAAAGUGUGGGUAUCAAACAGGAUUAGAUACCCGAGUAGUC